rnacentral:rRNA from 1 species
GACGAACGCUGGCGGCGUGCCUAAUACAUGCAAGUCGAACGCACUUCUUUCACCGGAGCUUGCUCCACCGGAAGAAGUGAGUGGCGGACGGGUGAGUAACACGUGGGUAACCUGCCCAUCAGAAGGGGAUAACACUUGGAAACAGGUGCUAAUACCGUAUAACAAUAGAAACCGCCUGGUUUUUAUUUGAAAGACGCUUUCGGGUGUCGCUGAUGGAUGGACCCGCGGUGCAUUAGCUAGUUGGUGAGGUAACGGCUCACCAAGGCGAUGAUGCAUAGCCGACCUGAGAGGGUGAUCGGCCACACUGGGACUGAGACACGGCCCAGACUCCUACGGGAGGCAGCAGUAGGGAAUCUUCGGCAAUGGACGAAAGUCUGACCGAGCAACGCCGCGUGAGUGAAGAAGGUUUUCGGAUCGUAAAACUCUGUUGUUAGAGAAGAACAAGGAUGAGAGUAACUGUUCAUCCCUUGACGGUAUCUAACCAGAAAGCCACGGCUAACUACGUGCCAGCAGCCGCGGUAA